ACGGGUGAGUAAUAUAUCGGAACGUACCCUGGAGUGGGGGAUAACGUAGCGAAAGUUACGCUAAUACCGCAUACGAUCUAAGGAUGAAAGUGGGGGAUUCGCAAGGACCUCAUGCUCCUGGAGCGGCCGAUAUCUGAUUAGCUGGUUGGUAGGGUAAAAGCCUACCAAGGCAUCGAUCAGUAGCUGGUCUGAGAGGACGACCAGCCACACUGGAACUGAGACACGGUCCAGACUCCUACGGGAGGCAGCAGUGGGGAAUUUUGGACAAUGGGCGCAAGCCUGAUCCAGCAAUGCCGCGUGAGUGAAGAAGGCCUUCGGGUUGUAAAGCUCUUUUGUCAGGGAAGAAACGGACUUUUCUAAUACAGAGGUCUAAUGACGGUACCUGAAGAAUAAGCACCGGCUAACUACGUGCCAGCAGCCGCGGUAAUACGUAGGGUGCAAGCGUUAAUCGGAAUUACUGGGCGUAAAGCGUGCGCAGGCGGUUUUGUAAGACUGUCGUGAAAUCCCCGGGCUCAACCUGGGAAUGGCGAUGGUGACUGCAAGGCUAGAGUUUGGCAGAGGGGGGUAGAAUUCCACGUGUAGCA
rnacentral:rRNA from 1 species